UACGUAGGGUGCGAGCGUUAAUCGGAAUUACUGGGCGUAAAGGGCGCGUAGGCGGCCUCUUAAGUCGGACGUGAAAUCCCUCGGCUUAACCGGGGAACUGCGUCCGAUACUGGUUGGCUUGAGUUUGGGAGAGGGAUGCGGAAUUCCAGGUGUAGCGGUGAAAUGCGUAGAUAUCUGGAGGAACACCGGUGGCGAAGGCGGCAUCCUGGACCAAUACUGACGCUGAGGAGCGAAAGCCAGGGGAGCAAACGGG
rnacentral:rRNA from 1 species